UUUCAAAGAGCAGCUAAAGAGAAGCGGCUAUACCUUGGAGGAGAGAGCAAAUAGAGAGACCUUGAAGGGAAUCUUCUAGGGCAGGGAAGAAGUAUCCGUUGACUCCAAGUACAAGAACAUACCAUGUCCAAAGCUGACCAGUUCUCUGGUGGUUACUGCUACUGAUCCAUCCAAACUGCUGGACUUGUCCUUCAUACCCAAGGUCUUCAGGCAGUAUCUAAUGGGAAGUCAACUCAAAAAGGAACCAGACCAUCAUUUCCUGGCCCCUUUAUUCUGGUGACUGAUGGAAGAGUGGGAGGGAAAUAUAUUUAAUGGUUGGAAAAACAUCAAAUUACUAUACCUCUUCAGUUUCUAUUCCUAUAGAAUUUUGCAACUAUGGUAUUUGGAUCGGUCAUUCAUAUACAUAUAUAAUAUAAUAUAUAUAUAUAUAUAUAUAUAUAUAUAUAUAUAUAUUAUAUUAUAUAUAUUAGGGGA
rnacentral:lncRNA from 1 species